rnacentral:sRNA from 1 species
GAAAGCUGCCUUUCAGGCAUCCUCUCCCAAAACUUUCAGGCCCGGUUGGCAACGACCGGGCCUUUUUUUCUGUCAGC